rnacentral:rRNA from 1 species
UGGGGAAUAUUGCACAAUGGGCGCAAGCCUGAUGCAGCCAUGCCGCGUGUAUGAAGAAGGCCUUCGGGUUGUAAAGUACUUUCAGCGGGGAGGAAGGGAGUAAAGUUAAUACCUUUGCUCAUUGACGUUACCCGCAGAAGAAGCACCGGCUAACUCCGUGCCAGCAGCCGCGGUAAUACGGAGGGUGCAAGCGUUAAUCGGAAUUACUGGGCGUAAAGCGCACGCAGGCGGUCUGUCAAGUCGGAUGUGAAAUCCCCGGGCUCAACCUGGGAACUGCAUUCGAAACUGGCAGGCUAGAGUCUUGUAGAGGGGGGUAGAAUUCCAGGUGGAGCGGUGAAAUGCGUAGAGAUCUGGAGGAAUACCGGUGGCGAAGGCGGCCCCCUGGACAAAGACUGACGCUCAGGUGCGAAAGCGUGGGGAGCAAACAGG